GACGAACGCUGGCGGCGUGCUUAACACAUGCAAGUCGAACGAAGUGGCGAACGGGUGAGUAACGCGUAAUCAACCUGCCAUUCAGAGGGGGACAACAGUUGGAAACGACUGCUAAUACAGCAUACUGUAGGAGGGGGUUGCGUCUGCUGAGCUAGUUGGCGGGGUAACGGCCCAACAAGGAGAGGAUCAGUAGCCGGGCUGAGAGGAGGAACGGCCCACAUGGGACUGAGACACGGCCCAGACUCCUACGGGAGGCAGCAGGGGGGAAUUUUCCGCAAUGGACGAAAGUCUGACGGAGCAACGCCGCGGGAGUGAUGACGGCCUUCGGGUUGUAAAGCUCUGUUAAUCGGGACGCGGUACCGGAAUAGAAAGCCACGGCUAACUACGUGCCAGCAGCCGCGGUAAUAC
rnacentral:rRNA from 1 species